rnacentral:rRNA from 1 species
UACGUAGGGGGCAAGCGUUGUCCGGAAUUAUUGGGCGUAAAGAGCGCGUAGGCGGUCCGGUAAGUCGGUUGUGAAAGUCGGGGGCUCAACCCUCGGAUGCCGAUCGAUACUGUCGGGCUAGAGUCCGGAAGAGGCGAGUGGAAUUCCUGGUGUAGCGGUGAAAUGCGCAGAUAUCAGGAGGAGCACCGGUGGCGAAGGCGGUUCUCUGGGCAUUACCUGACGCUGAGGAGCGAAAGUGUGGGGAGCGAACAGG